UGAAAAUAUAUAUUUAUUUUGAAGUUCUUAAUAGGGAAAACGUUUAUUGUGAUAGAAUCUUUUGCCAUCUGAAUCUCUCUCUCUGGCUGAAACAUGGACUCGUCAAAUUAAUUCAUUCAUUCAUAAUAAACCUCGGUAAAUAAACCACGAAAGAAUUAAGACGUGGGAAAAGAUUGAGAACAGCAGUUGCAGAUAAAACUAAUGCAAGAUUGCUGUUGCAAAAUUUCUGGAUUGAAGAUUGGUUGGACAGCAGCACUACCUUGAAUUUCAAAAAAAGUUGUCUCAUACAGAUAAAUCGAUCAAACACACUUCUCUAGAACCUGAAAGUGACAUUCUGUGGUAUGGUGGUGACUGGUGAAGAAGAAAGAAGUGACCUUGAAGAAAAGUCAUCAAUUCCAUCUUGCUGUGACCCAGAACAAAUGCUGGAUUGUGCAUCACACUGCUAUCCUUUUAACAAUUACCUUCCGCUUCCCUUUAACAAUGAACUGGAUCCACAGAAGGCUAAUGAAGGCUGUGCUGCUGCUUAUUACUGCCAAGGCAUACUACAGACUCUAUACAUCUUUACCUAAAGAGGAAGGAAAGGAAUAAGGAGUGAUCUCCCUUGCAGAUCCCAUUGAACUGUGCUACACUUUAACGGAAUUAUUUGACGCCAUCGACUGUACUGGAUUAAUGAAAGCAGUCAACCUAGCUUCUCAACGUUGCUUGAAGGAGACUUAGUCAGGAGCCCGAAUCCGUUGUGCUCCUUGAGAAUCUGUGAAAGCCGCCCAUCUUGACUCACGCGCCAUGAUAAAGAUCCAACAAAUAGCUACUUGAUGACGAAUUCCCAAGGGUUUUGAUAUUUUGGACCAAGAUGACCUUCGAUCGGGCGAAGAAAACUUUUUACGAGGCUAAAUCAAAUGUUAUGGGUCCACUGAUGCUCCGCCUUUUGUUGAUACCCUACUACGUCUAUGAAGGACAUGUCGAAGGAUAAACAUCUCGAUCUUUCUCAAUGCGUUGGAAGCGCCCGUUACAUUGAUAAUGUCCUCAUUGCGGUUUAAAUAGCUUCCGUUCACCAGAAAUUCAGCGUGAAAAUAAUUUUUGUCGAAGACUGCCUCUACAAUUUGGUCAACAAAGCCUGGAAUCUCCAGUACAAGGAUCAAAACAAACUCACAUUCAAAAUGGUGUAACUGGCGAAGGAGCUCAUUUGGUUUGGAUUGGACUCAACAGUUUCAACGUUGUUCAAGACUUACUCGUAAUUUGCUCAACAUCCUAGGCAGCGCGUCCAGUCUGGCUGAUGCCGAAUAUUUUCACAGAAACAAUCAAGGGUCAGGACAGCAUGCAAUAAUCGAAGAAAUGGAAACCCCUGACGGAGAGGGUGUGCUGUGGUCGUUGAGUGACAUAUUCACCGUCAUGACCACUUGCCCAGUUUAGACCUGGGAACGGCCGGAUUUGCCAAGUCUCCCAAGCAUCUUUGAUAAUCACCACACGGAAAUCAUGAGAGGUUCGGACUUCGAUAAAGUGAUGCCGAGUUUGGAAUCGUGGAUCAUCGAAUCAUUCAUUCGGCUGGAGAAGAUCUGGGUUCUCUCAGAUGACUCGGCGCAAUAACUCACACAUCUCAUCCAGCGGAGCAACUCGCUACUUCACACCCGCCAUUUAGGGAUCCAGCAAAGAAACCUUCACUGCUCUGCCGCAUAUUCCUCGGCGCACUACGCUUUCUAACCCAUUCUUAGCGACAAGAGAUCGAGCGCGAGGAAUAUCCCGGCGUUCCAGGUGUUGCAAAACGCUUUUGGUCUCAACGCCUCCGCGCAUUUCGUCGCACGUGAAUGCAACUCCCAUCCGGCUGCUGCAUAACGCGGUUGGACACCUUUCAGGGCUGUCCAGGAGUCGUCACUUCUACUUGGGCGUCAGUCUUUUGCCCGCGGCCCAUCUUCACAACGAUGCAGGCCGUUGGAGGUCUGCAACAUCCUGCUGGGUCUGGUAGUCAUGGCGACAGACAUAGAUGGCCUCUACGCGUUGGUCAAGUUCAACGUUAAGCCCAGCAAGAGAUGGAACGCAUCUGCGGCUACCAGACGCUGACAUACCUCCUGGAACACCUCAAGACUUGGCUCAACAACCACAUCCAUCAUCUAUAUAUGAUCCUCGUCCUAAUCGGGUUCGAACAGCAUAACAUCAAGGCCACAAACGAGCCCAACAACAGCCUGGCAUUCGGGGACUUGCUGGCUUAUCUUGA
rnacentral:lncRNA from 1 species